CUCCCUAGAUAGUUGGAUUGUUAUUUUUUGUAGUUGUUUCUUCCAUGGUGAACUAUGAGGAACAAUUCCCAAGAUAUCAGGAGACUUCCAAAUUCCAAGGGCAAUGCUUUGUACUCAUCUGUCUGUCGCUACACUGAGAGUCCUGAUUUUGUCAACACAUCUGGCAUGGACUAAGGCUUAAUGGGCUGCAGUACCACCCAUCUGGGCCGGAAAGAGCAGGAUUACAGAAUCAUUCUGAGCAUUGCCUUCACGGGAUUUCAAUCAAGUCUUUCGUGAAUAAUAAGCUAAGAACAAAACUUCGAAAAAAGAUCCCCGCGGAUCAAAAGGCGCGCGCCGGCGACCGAUCGAACGACCACCCAACCCGUGCGUGUGUCGCCACCUCGUCCGGGCGGGCAAAUCAACCGCCCGCGUGCAGGAGCGCUACGCGAGUACGCGACGCGAUUGCUACGCGGAUUUCGCCGUGGUGGUGGUGGUGGUGGUGGUGGUGGUGGUGUGUCUUUCGGCGUGGUGGCGAGGAUGGCCGGGAUGUCAGAAGUGGCGCCGGGUGGCCGGGGGUCGAUCGCUCUGAUAGAUGGAAUGUAAAGAUAUCACCAGGCCAUGGACGGCCGGCGACCGCUUGAAAGUACACCGGGACGGGAUGGCCAGCAUGCACGUGAAAUGCGAUAAGGCGGUGAGGAUGCGUGCUUCGUUUUGCAGGUCCUCAUGACUGUGAUUGGUGGCCUGAACCUGCAUGACCGUUCAGUACAAUUCUGCGACGUGCUUCUAACGCUGAACUGACGUGUCACAUGGGGAUGCAUGCAGAGAAGAUUCAGGAGACGCUACUAACUAGCGACCGCUUGUCAUUUUAGAGAAACCUCAUUUCAGUUUCACUGCGACUACUUGUGAUGCACCGGUGAUCAGUCACCUAUCGGUGCAUGCAAUAUGUGGCUGCGUGCAUGCAUGCUCGUUUGUCAUCUAGUAUGGUCGAUCAAUCUCAUUCAAUCUCGUGGUGUAGGCAGGCGCAGGCCGAUCAGGUCUGGAAUGUGGAGGAACUGAUCCGCGUGAGUGCGCGUGCUGGGCCUAUGAUCAGCUUUGCUUUCCGCAAAUCCGGCGCCCGCCGUGAUACAGUUUGGUUCUGCACUUCUGCGUGCGUGCGUGCUUGCACACGCAACGCAGUAUGCUGGAACGAUACAUGCACAUUACUGACAAGUUUUUUCUUUGAAAAGUACUACUGACAAGUGCUAACCAUACAAUGCACUU